GUUGUGCUCGUGAUGCUGCGGGCGGCGCUGGGGGGUGCGCGUGUCCUCCUGCUCCCUCGCCGGGGGGGCUCAGGGGCCCAGCGAUGUCUCCGCUGGCGGCAGCCGCAGCAGCGGCGCGCGGCGUCGGAAGCCGCCGCCCAUCCCGGGGCGGUGGCCCCGCCUGUGCCCGGCUCGGCCGCGGAGCGGCUCGUGGGGCGCUGGCUGCUGGUGUGCAGCGGCACGGUGGCCGGAGCUGUUGUGCUGGGAGGCGUGACCAGGCUAACAGAGUCUGGGCUCUCCAUGGUCGACUGGCACCUGGUGAGGGAGAUGAAGCCCCCACAGACACAGCAGGAAUGGGAGGCUGAGUUCCAAAAAUACCAGCAGUUCCCAGAAUUUAAAAUCCUGAAUCAUGACAUGACAUUGAGAGAGUUCAAGUUCAUCUGGUACAUGGAGUAUUCGCACCGCAUGUGGGGUCGGGUUGUAGGUUUGGCCUAUGUUCUGCCUGCUGUCUACUUCUGGAGAAAAGGCUGGCUCAGCUCCUCCAUGAAGGGGUGUGUCCUUGCCCUCUGUGGGCUUGUCUGCUUCCAGGGUCUGCUAGGCUGGUACAUGGUGAAAAGUGGAUUGGAAGAGAAGCCGGAUUCUCAUGAUAUCCCCCGAGUCAGUCAGUAUCGUCUAGCAGCACAUCUAGGCUCUGCACUAGUUCUGUACUGUGCCAGCCUGUGGAGUGGAUUGUCCUUGCUGCUCCCACAACACAAAUUACCUGAAACCUAUCAGCUUCUCCGUCUGAGACGAUUUGCUCAUGGGACAACAGGUCUUAUCUUCCUCACUGCUCUCUCAGGUGCCUUUGUGGCCGGACUGGAUGCAGGCCUUGUGUACAACUCCUUCCCCAAGAUGGGGGAGCGCUGGAUCCCAGACGAUCUCCUCUCCUUCUCCCCAGUGCUGAAGAACAUCUUUGAGAAUCCCACUACGGUGCAGUUUAAUCACAGGAUUUUGGGGAUCACCUCAGUCACUGCCAUCACAGCACUCUAUCUUCUCUCUCGGAAGAUCCCCCUACCACGCAGGACCAAGAUUGCUGUGGCCUCUUUAAUGGCUGUGGCAUAUAUGCAGGUGGGCCUGGGCAUCAGCACCCUUCUACUGUAUGUCCCAACUCCUCUGGCUGCCAUUCACCAGUCGGGAUCCCUGGCACUGCUCACUGUGGCUCUGUGGCUUAUGAAUGAACUACGUCGGGUCCCAAAGUAGCCUGGCUUCAACUGGGCUCUGCAAGGACGUCUAGUUCUUUUCCCCACUGCAUUGAUGUAGAUGCUCUGGCUGAUUGCUUUCCUCUGUGGUGACUUGCUGGGGUUCGAAGGGGCUCUGAGUGGGGAGUUCUGCAAGCCUGAAUUUAGACUGACCAGACUGACUGUUCUGUUUACUGGGACAAAUUCUUGACUGAACUGGACGCCAUCCUCGGCAGCAACCUCACCUCCGCCAAGAGCCCUGUGGAUGCUUCAGUGGGGCUGGAGACAGCAGACUUAACCCCAAAGUCAUGGAUGAGAGGAGGUUAAGUUGGAGGAUGACGUGGAGCACACAGCAGGGUCUUCUGCUGGUGCAGUGAAUCAGGACCUCUUAUCCACUCCAGAGGGGUCUUGCCCAUCACGGCAGUCCAUCUCUGGCAUGUAUGAUGCAGAAGAGGAGAGCCCUGAUGUGGUCUUCAAGGGAACCCCUUACACAAUGGUGCAGGGCCUCCGCCAGAUGAGGAAGUGACUAAGGAGGACACGUUUCGAGAGGUGCUCCAAUCCUCAGCUGCUGAAAAACACAGGGCAUGGAGAGAGACUUCAAAGGAAAAAUUUAAAAUAGGCAGGAGAGAAAGGAGAGCCAGGAGCAAAUUUUACUAGGCCAAAUGCGGAUGAUAAAAGUGAUGAGAGCAGCAAAAGGAGAUGUUGAGGUCCCUAAUCACACUGCAGGCAGAACACAUGCAUGCUCAGCCCCCUCUGUAGCCGAUACAGAAGUGCUUUCCAUAUUCUCCCCAAACUGCUCCCACAAAUUCCUUGCAAUUCCGGGUUCAUCUCGGUAUCCUGUUCACUCCAUCCCUUUGGACAACUUCUGGAAUGACUUACAGACAGCUAUAAGAGCCUAUACUGCCCUUUUUGUUUGUGUUGGUAAUUGGUAUUUAAUAAAAACAUACUCUCUGUAGGAUA